GGGUGAGUAAUAUAUCGAUAACCUACCCUCGAGACGGGGACAACAGCUCGAAAGGGCUGCUAAUACCCGAUGGUUCUGGGUUGAAGCAUUCUUCCUAGCUAAACGGUUGGCUCUUCGGAGCCUUCUGCUCGAGGAGGGGUCGAUAUCCUAUCAGCUAGUUGGCGGGAUAAUAGCCCACCAAGGCUUUGACGGGUAGCCGGACUGAGAGGUCGACCGGUCACACUGGCACUGAGACACUGGCCAGACUCCUACGGGAGGCUGCAGUCGAGAAUCUUCCGCAAUGGGCGAAAGCCUGACGGAGCGACGCCGCGUGCAGGAUGAAGGCCCUCGGGUUGUAAACUGCUGUCAAAUGUUAGGAAUUGUUAGUCGCGGAUAACGGCUAACUUGACAAAGGCAUGAGAGGAAGUCCCGGCUAACUUCGUGCCAGCAGCCGCGGCAAGACGAAGGUGGCAAGCGUUGCUCGGAAUCACUGGGCAUAAAGCGCGCGUAGGUGGCUUGAUAAGUCGAUGGUGAAAUCCCAUGGCUCAACCAUGGAACUGCCACCGAUACUGUUGGGCUUGAGGACGGUAGGGGAGAGUGGAACUCCUGGUGUAGCGGUGAAAUGCGUAGAUAUCAGGAGGAACGCCGGUGGCAAAGCGACUCUCUGGGCCGCUCCUGACACUGAUGCGCGAAAGCUAGGGGAGCAAACAGGAUUAGAUACCCUGGUAGUCCUAGCUGUAAACGAUGGGCACUAGGUAGAGGUGGUUUCGAAACCUCCUCUGCCGGAGCUAAUGUAUUAAGUGCCCCGCCUGGGGAGUAUGGUCGCAAGGCUAAAACUCAAAGGAAUUGACGGGGGCUCACACAAGCGGUGGAGCAUGUGGUUUAAUUCGAAGCAACGCGAAGAACCUUACCCGGGUUUGAAAUGCUAGGAUUAGCCUUCCGAAAGGGAGGUGACGCCCUUGUGGUGGAACUAGCACAGGUGUUGCAUGGCUGUCGUCAGCUCGUGUCGUGAGAUGUCGGGUUAAGUCCCUUAACGAGCGAAACCCUUGUCCUUAGUUGCCAGCACUUCGGGUGGGUACUCUAGGGAGACUGCCGUUGUUAAAACGGAGGAAGGUGGGGACGACGUCAAGUCAUCAUGGCCUUUAUGUCCGGGGCUACACACGUGCCACAAUGGCCGGUACAAAGGGAUGCAAAGCCGUGAGGUAGAGCAAAACCCAGAAAGCCGGUCCCAGUUCGGAUUGGAGGCUGCAAUUCGCCUCCAUGAAGUCGGAAUCGCUAGUAAUCGCGGAUCAGCUACGCCGCGGUGAAUAUGUUCCUGAGCCUUGUACACACCGCCCGUCAAGCCACGAAAGCUGGUAGUACCUGAAGUCGUGUACCCAACCCGCAAGGGAGGGAAGCGCCCACGGUAAAACCGGUGAUUGGGACUAAGUCGUAACAAGGUA
rnacentral:rRNA from 1 species